GAUCCCCCUCAGUUAUCUGAGUGGGCCCUAAAUCCAAAUCCAAUGCUAGGUGUCAAGAGACACGCAGGGAGAGGACUGCUGGUCAUAUGAAGACAGAGGCAGAGAUGGGAGAGAUGCACCUGAGAUAUACAGAGUGUAUGCUGAAGAGAAUGAUCCUGUACAGACAGUAUCUUUGAAAAAGUGAGAAGAGAUGCCACCCAGGGCAGAAGUGGAAGUGUUGGCUUUGCAUGGGAGCACUGACAGUUUAUCAGCUGUAACAGAAGGGAAAGUAGAGAAUUGAAGUUGCAAACAUCAUUUGCUGAUGUGCUAUUGGAGAGUGAAUGGAGAACCAUAUUUAUUCAAUGUUGGGGUUUUUCCAGAAAAGUUCAAGGGAAGAAAAAAAGAGCAAGAGAAUGACCACACAUACAGAGAAGUUCCUUCUCAGUAUGGGCUCUGCCAUGCUCCGAGCUGCGUGGUGGACCUUGAGGGGUCUUCAACGUUCCUUGGUCCCUCUCUCCGCAAGAAUGAGCAGCAAUAGGACAGACAGGAGCUAUGCCCUGGCUGAUAAAGUGGCUGUGAUCACUGGAUCC